rnacentral:rRNA from 1 species
GACGAACGCUGGCGGCAUGCCUAAUACAUGCAAGUCGAACGCUGAAGCACUCUGCUUGCAGAGUGCGGAUGAGUGGCGAACGGGUGAGUAACACGUGGGAAAUCUGCCUAUAAGAGGGGGAUAACAUUCGGAAACGGAUGCUAAUACCGCAUAUAUUCUUGGACCGCCUGGUCCUUGAAAGAAAGACGGCUUUGCUGUCGCUUAUAGAUGAUCCCGCGGCGUAUUAGUUAGUUGGUGGGGUAAAGGCCUACCAAGACAAUGAUACGUAGCCGACCUGAGAGGGUGAUCGACCACACUGGGACUGAGACACGGCCCAGACUCCUACGGGAGGCAGCAGUAGGGAAUCUUCCACAAUGGGCGAAAGCCUGAUGGAGCAAUGCCGCGUGAAUGAAGAAGGUCUUCGGAUCGUAAAGUUCUGUUAUUAGAGAAGAACAAGUCAAGGAGUAACUGUCUUGACUUUGACGGUACCUAACCAGAAAGUCACGGCUAACUACGUG